GUUGGGCACAGUGGCGCAUGCCUAUAAUCCCAGCUCCUUGGGAGGCUGAGGCAGGAGGAUCACAAGUUCAAAGCCAGCCUCAGCAAUUUAGCAAGGCUGUAAGAAACAUAGGGAGACCCUGUCUCAG
rnacentral:sRNA from 1 species